rnacentral:sRNA from 1 species
AGCCAAAGGUCUGGUGAUGAUCCCAUACCCUUUUUUCCAGUCUCAUGUUGAAGAUUUUUAUGUAGAAGGCCUUCCCAAAGGAAUUUUUUUUUUUUUUUUUUGAGAUGGAGUUUUCACUCUUAUCGCCCAGGCUGGGGUGCAAUGGCACAACCUUGCUGGUCACUGCAACCUCUGCCUCCUGGGUUCAAGAAAUUCUCCUGCCUUAGCCUCCCAAGUUGCUGGGAUUACAGGUGCCCACCACCACAGCAGGCUAAUUUUUGUAUUUUUAGUGGAGAUGGGGUUUCACCAUGUUGGCCGGGCCAGUCUCGAACUCCUGACGUCAAGUGAUCUUCCCGCCUCGACUCCUGACAUCAAGUGAUCUUCCCGCCUCGGCCUCCCAGAGUGCUGAGAUUACAGACGUGAACCCAUGCCUGGCCAGGAAUUUUGUUUUUUAGGAAGGAUUUCUACUAAUGGAAUUCCUGGCCUUGAGAGGAUGUUACUUUCGAAGGAAAGGAUUUUUUUUGUUAUUAAAAGAGCCACCUAAGCUGAAGAUUCCCUUGAGAACAAGUACUGUCCUGCGGUUUCAUGGCCUUUCUUCCAUUUGUGGUUCUUGCGAAGUGGAAUUUAAAUGACAUCUUACCAAGAUGGAUAAACCCUAGUUUCCCAGUGCUGGAAUAUAGAAAAUGGAUGGACAACUGGACCUACCAUGAAAGACUUCUGAAUCCAGGAAGAGAAACUGACUGGGCAACAUGUUAUUCAGAAACAGGACCUUUCCCUGUCACUCAGGAUGGAGUUCAGUGGUCCUAUCAUGGCUCAUUAUAGCCUCAAACUCCCAGGCUCAAGCAAUCCUACCAUGUCAGCCUUCCCAGUAGCUGGGACUACAGGUAAGCAUCGUGACACUCAGUGAAUUUUGUUUUUAUUUUGUUGUAGAGAUGGGACCUCAGUAUGUUGCCACGGCUGACCUUGAACUCCUGCACUCAAGGGAUUUUCCUGCCCUGGCCUCCCAAAGUAUUGGUAUUACAGGCAUGAGCCAUUGUGCCCACCGUCUCUGGUUCUUAACCUUCUGCCUCCCUCUUCCAGUUUUAAAGAAUGCUUGUAAUUACAUGGGCUCUCCUAGAUACUCCAGGAUAAUCUUGUUUUAAGGUCAGCUGAUGAGCAACAUUAAUUUUAUCUGCACUCUUAAUUCCCCCUUCCUAUGUAAUUGUGCUGUGUAACAUAGGACAUGAGCAAUUGGUGGCGGUGGGGGUUAUUACUUUGGCCACCACAGUAACUAUUUUAUGCCAGGUACUCAGCUAAGCACUGGUGAAUUAAGCAUGAAUAACACACACUCCCUAAUCUCCAUCCAUUCAUGGGAGGAGCACUUCACCUGCCAUGCUCCUGAGAAUCUCGGGAGU